rnacentral:lncRNA from 1 species
UGACUUUCUAGUGACUAGGACAAGGUCAGACAAGCACGUGUUCAGCUGUUAUGGCUGCUGACAGUGGCAGGCAUCUGACCUUAGUGACUAAGACAAGGUUAGACAAGCUGUUAUGGCUGCUGAAAUGGGAAGCUGAUCCCUUCAAGAUGUCUUAUGAAGAUAAAUGCCCUCCAGAGGAGUUCCGAAAUGGGCAUCAUUUUCCAUGGAAAUGGCGUUAUGGAUGAUUUUGAACCACCAUGUAGGUGCUGGGAACUGAAGUCCUCUGAAAGAGCAGCCAUUGCUCUUAACUGCUGAGUCAUCUUUCCGGCCCGCUUCAGAGAAUUGUAAAUUUGACUGAAGAGGACUGGUGUACAUGAAGGAUUCCAGAAAACUUGCCAAGACAUAUCAGCUCCAGGGGGCAGCCAAAUACUCCUCUGUGGACUCUACAACUUCUGUUUACAGUGUGCACUUUGAACUUU